rnacentral:rRNA from 1 species
GAUGAACGCUAGCGGCAGGCUUAACACAUGCAAGUCGAGGGGUAACAUUGUAGCUUGCUACAGAUGACGACCGGCGCACGGGUGCGUAACGCGUAUACAAUCUACCUAUUACUAAGAGAUAGCCCAGAGAAAUUUGGAUUAAUAUUUUAUAGUAUUAUCGAUUGGCAUCAAUUGAUAAUUAAAGAUUACGGUAAUAGAUGAGUAUGCGUCCUAUUAGCUUGAUGGUAAGGUAACGGCUUACCAUGGCUACGAUAGGUAGGGGUCCUGAGAGGGAGAUCCCCCACACUGGUACUGAGACACGGACCAGACUCCUACGGGAGGCAGCAGAGGAAUAUUGGACAAUGGGAGCAAUCCUGAUCCAGCCAUGCCGCGUGCAGGAAGACUGCCCUAUGGGUUGUAAACUGCUUUUAUACAGGAAGAAAAAGGUUCACGUGUGAACUGUUGACGGUACUGUAGGAAUAAGGAUCGGCUAACUCCGUGCCAGCAGCCGCGGUAAUACGGAGGAUCCAAGCGUUAUCCGGAAUCAUUGGGUUUAAAGGGUCCGUAGGCGGGACAAUCAGUCAGUGGUGAAAGUUUGCGGCUCAACCGUAAAAUUGCCAUUGAUACUGUUGUUCUUGAGUGCUUGUGAAGUGGUUAGAAUGAGUAGUGUAGCGGUGAAAUGCAUAGAUAUUACUCAGAAUACCGAUUGCGAAGGCAGAUCACUAACAAUUCACUGACGCUGAUGGACGAAAGCGUAGGUAGCGAACAGGAUUAGAUACCCUGGUAGUCUACGCCGUAAACGAUGGUUACUAGCUGUUCGGACUAAUUGCGGUCUGAGUGGCUAAGCGAAAGUGAUAAGUAACCCACCUGGGGAGUACGUUCGCAAGAAUGAAACUCAAAGGAAUUGACGGGGGCCCGCACAAGCGGUGGAGCAUGUGGUUUAAUUCGAUGAUACGCGAGGAACCUUACCAGGGCUUAAAUGCAGUUUGACAGGGGUGGAAACAUCUUUUUCUUCGGACAAAUUGCAAGGUGCUGCAUGGUUGUCGUCAGCUCGUGCCGUGAGGUGUCAGGUUAAGUCCUAUAACGAGCGCAACCCCUUUGUUUAGUUACCAGCAUGUAAAGAUGGGGACUCUAGACAUACUGCCAGUGUAAACUGUGAGGAAGGUGGGGAUGACGUCAAAUCAUCACGGCCCUUACGUCCUGGGCUACACACGUGCUACAAUGGUAGGGACAGAGAGCAGCCACUGGGUGACCAGGAGCGAAUCUACAAACCCUAUCACAGUUCGGAUCGCAGUCUGCAACUCGACUGCGUGAAGCUGGAAUCGCUAGUAAUCGCAUAUCAGCCAUGAUGCGGUGAAUACGUUCCCGGC